GCGGAAGUGGCGGAAUUGGUAGACGCACCAGAUUUAGGUUCUGGCGCCGCAAGGUGUGAGAGUUCAAGUCUCUC
rnacentral:tRNA from 1 species